rnacentral:piRNA from 1 species
UCUAAUAUUUUCCCUGCUUUCUACAAGGU